AAUUAAGAAGCAUUAAUUAUGCAUUCAAUUUCGGCUUGUAAUAAGAUUUAAAUUUAAUCCUUAAUUA